UUACUCAUUUGCACCCAAAAAAAAAAAAAAAUUUGAGGCAUAGACGACCCACCAACUACUUCCUCUCCUUGAUUUUCUUCCCCCCACCAACUUCCCCCCAGUCCUCCAUGACACUCUCCAUUUUCCUACGUUCCAGCUCUCAUCUCAGAAUUUGAAUUAUUAGAGCUCAGCUAUGGAGGCCAAACUUUUUCAAAGCAUUCAACCUUGCAAAUGGGUGGAUACCGAAAAUUUGAUGAGAAAACCCGGCGCAUUUAUCCGGGUUUCUCAUAAAACUAUGGAUAAUUCCAGGGUCCGGUCAAUGUUCAUGAAUGUACAAUCAAGUAAGAGAGUUUCAGCUCAUCAAAAUCGGUUUAGUCGGAAGGUUUUGAGUUCCUUAAAGAACCCUCCAGGUUCGGUGUUGUUGGAGUCUGGUGGCUUUCCCGCUUCUCUAGACGAGUCCUUGGUUUUGAAGAAUAAGUCAGCAGAGAUAGACAGUGUUCUGAACGGACGCUGCAUUUACCUUGUUGGAAUGAUGGGAUCUGGGAAAACAACUAUUGGCAGGGUUGUGUCUGAAGCACUUAGUUAUUCGUUUUCUGAUAGUGACUUAUUGGUGGAGCAGAAAGCGGGGGGAAUGUCUGUUGCAGAAAUAUUCAAGCAACACGGGGAGGGCUUCUUUAGAGACAAAGAGACUGAGGUGUUAAAGGAGCUAUCUAUGAUGCAUCGAUUUGUUGUUUCCACUGGUGGAGGGGCUGUUAUAAGGCCCAUCAAUUGGAAACAUAUGCGAAGUGGUAUUAGUGUUUGGUUAGAUGUGCCAGUGGAGUGCUUAGCACGGAGGAUUUCGGCAGUUGGAACCGGCUCUCGUCCUCUGUUGCAUGGUGAAUCAGGAGAUGCAUACUCUAAGGCUUUGACACGUUUGUCCACCCUACUAGAAGAGAGAGGUGAAGCAUACGCUAAUGCUAACACCCGGGUUUCUUUUGAACAUAUCGCAUCAAAACUAGGGCAUGUAAAUGUAGAUAAUCUUAGUCCAGCUGCUAUUGCAAUUGAGGUGCUUGUACAAAUUGAGAGCUUCCUUAAAGGAUGAUGGCUUUUACGUAAAACCUGCAUACAAUGGAUUAUAGGAUAAAUCGAAGGUGUUGUCAUAUAUUUUUGGCUGGAAAACAAGCUGAGGGAGUGGGCCAAUGAGCUGAUUGUUAGACAAGUGCAAAUUAUUGUGCUUCAGAUUGCCAAAAGUUGAAGACAUUUGGCCUACAAACUGGUUAUUUGAGAACAAGACAUCAUACAAUGCAGUUAGAUGCCCCAUAGUCGGUGGCAACAAGACAUCAUACAACUUUCCUGUAAUCACAUCUCGAUUCAGAAUAUUUCUGAUUCUAAAAGGCCGUAGCACAAGGUAAAUGCUGGCUGGGAAGUUGGAGGCGGCCAAAUUGUGGCAAUUCAGGGGCAAAUUGCGUACAUCACUUUUAUGGUGCACCGUGCACCUACUAGUCCAUUAGCCAACUUUAUUUUUGGCUAAUUUUACCCAACUCUUUAUCUUUCAAUGCUUUGUAAAGUAUUAAUGCGAUUGUAUCAAGUAAAGUAUUACUAAUAAUUUGUAUCAAGAAAAGUAUAAAUAAUUUAAUGCUAUUAUAGA